rnacentral:rRNA from 1 species
GAUGAACGCUGGCGGCGUGCCUAAUACAUGCAAGUCGAGCGAACAGACGAGGAGCUUGCUCCUCUGACGUUAGCGGCGGACGGGUGAGUAACACGUGGAUAACCUACCUAUAAGACUGGGAUAACUUCGGGAAACCGGAGCUAAUACCGGAUAAUAUAUUGAACCGCAUGGUUCAAUAGUGAAAGACGGUUUUGCUGUCACUUAUAGAUGGAUCCGCGCCGCAUUAGCUAGUUGGUAAGGUAACGGCUUACCAAGGGAACGAUGCGUAGCCGACCUGAGAGGGUGAUCGGCCACACUGGAACUGAGACACGGUCCAGACUCCUACGGGAGGCAGCAGUAGGGAAUCUUCCGCAAUGGGCGAAAGCCUGACGGAGCAACGCCGCGUGAGUGAUGAAGGUCUUCGGAUCGUAAAACUCUGUUAUUAGGGAAGAACAAAUGUGUAAGUAACUAUGCACGUCUUGACGGUACCUAAUCAGAAAGCCACGGCUAACUACGU